rnacentral:rRNA from 1 species
AUGCAACGAGGAUCCGGAUCCGGCGAGUGGACAACAAAUUCCUUACGGACGAAGUUCUUCCAGAACUCUCCAUCCGAUGGAGUAGGCAUGUGCUGCGUCUACUCCCCCGCCACCGUCUCCACGACCUCGUCGCAGCGAGGUCAGAUCGUGUCGUCGGAUCGCCCGCCCUCCUACGACGCCGACGCCCCGCUGCGCUCCGAUGAGGGAUUCGACGGCAGGGCGGCCAACCCCUCUCCCUCUCGCGCGAGGCGCGGGCGCGGCGGCGGAGAUGGCGAGCCCCCGCCGCUUUCCCCGACCCCGAGUGUGAACGCCGGCAGGAAAUUCGAUGGCAGGGCGGCCAAACGCCGUCGCGCGGAGUCCGGCGGCGGUGUCGGCGUCGGCGUCGGCGACGCGGCGGCCCAGGACCGCAUCGGCGAACUCCCGGACGCGAUCCUGCUGUGCAUCCUCUCCUACCUCCCGCUCCGCGACGCCGCCCGUUCGACGGCGCUCUCUUCGCGGUGGCGCCGCCUGUUCGACCAGUACCUCCUCGACUUCAACGCGUGCCAGCCGUUCCCGCCGGAGGCGGGCCGCGGCUGCGACUGGUUCAUCCGCGCCGUCGACUCCAUCCUCGCCUCGCGCCGUCACAUCCGCAUCCGCAGCUUCCGCUUCGUGAUGUAUGGGCAGGGGUUCAACAAUCGCAUGGGCGUCGUCAGCGGCUGGUUCCCCGUCCUCGCGAGCUGCGGUGUCCGAGAAGUCGACGUCGACAUGUUGUACACGGUCUGGAGGCCGACCCUCCCCGCGUCGCUCCUCCAGCUCGCCUCCCUCGAAACCCUAAGAGUGUGCUUCUGCGACCUUCCCAAGGAAGCGGAGAUGGACGCGCUGCGGCUCCCCGCCCUCAAGACGCUCCGCCUGUCCAAUGUCCGAACGUCCCAGGACGCCCUGCAGGCGAUGCUUGCUCAUUGCCCAUCCCUGGAGUGCGCAAAGCUCAAGAACAUCACCGGGGUCAAGCAAAUCCGCCUCAGGUCCAGGAGCCUGGUACGGCUGUACGGCGACUUGGGCGACUUGAGUGAGCUCGUUGUCGAGGACGCCCCGAGCCUUGAAGAACUGGUGGGCAUCCAUUUGCCGAGUGGCAGAGCGACGGUGAAAAUUGUUUCGGCCCCCAAGCUGCAGGUGCUGGGGUACUUGGGGAAGAACGUCGGGCCUCUCGUGCUGCGUGAUACCGUUUUCGAUGGAGGCAUCUUGCAGUCCACUACCCUGAUGUGCAGCGUGAAGACCUUGGCCAUCCAAGUGCCCUUCUCAGAGAAGGGACAUACCACCUUCGUUGCUCAGUUGCUCAAAUGCUUCCCAUGUCUUGAGACGCUCCAUGUCGAGGCAGACAGUCGGUCAAUUUCGCAGCGGGUUGCUCCAGAAUCAUGGGACAUGACAACUUCUAUCCGGUGCAUCGAGCAUUCGCUCAACAAAUUGGUGUUCGAGGAUUUUGGAGGAGAAAUGUGCCAGUGGGGCUUUCUGACUUUUAUGCUCGAGAUGGCUAAAACUCUUAAGGUCGUCGAGCUCUACUGUUUGAAAGGCGAAGAUUGUGCCAGUAGACUGAUAAAUAUUCUAAGCAGCAUAAAUAGAGUCUGCCAGGACAUGGAGUUCCUGUUCUUCACAAGUUGUGAGCCAGUCAAUGGUCUCUACUUGUGCCAUUGCUGUCCCCGGCGGUGCCAGAAUGAAAACAGAGUUUCGCUGAUGGAUACUCUGAAGCACCAGAAAAAAUAGAAGGUGAUUGCAACCUGAAAAUCCCUGUUGUCGUCGGAUGCGCUUAAGUUGUGAUCUUGUGUCAGAAUCCGAGAAUUGUUCAUUUUAGUUUACUGGAAUAGAAAAGAAUCUGCAGGCUGGAUUGGCUGUACCGUAGCAGGCUGGUUGGCUGGAAUUAUUUUUCCUAGAACACAAUUAGUUGGACUUCUUGUUGGAUGUGUAUCGCUGGUACUGUUUAUAAUAUAAUCAUAACAUAAUGGUUUAGCAUUUUGAUAUCUUUGCACCGUAGUUCAAGUUCAUCUCCGACAUUUGAAAAUUUUCGAGGCCAUGGCGUUCGAAAUUAGAAUUGCACGGAAAGUGCACCAUGUAGAAAACGAGUGAAUGCUAUGCCUUUUG